rnacentral:rRNA from 1 species
GAUGAACGCUGGCGGCGUGCCUAAUACAUGCAAGUCGAGCGAAGCGGGGACGGGUGAGUAACACGUGGGUAACCUCCUCUAAGACUGGGAUAACUUCGUGAAACCGGAGCUAAACCGGAUACUUAUCCAUUGUUCCUCGCUGCAUUAGCUAGUUGGUAAGGUAACGGCUUACAAAGGCAACGAUGCCUAGCCGACCUGAGAGGGUGAUCGGCCACACUGGAACUGAGACACGGUCCAGACUCCUACGGGAGGCAGCAGUAGGGAAUCUUCCGCAAUGGGCGAAAGCCUGACGGAGCAAUGCCGCGUGAGUGAUGAAGGUCUUCGGAUCGUAAAACUCUGUUAUUAGGGAAGCGGUACCUAAUCAGAAAGCCACGGCUAACUACGUGCCAGCAGCCGCGGUAAUUC